CAGUAUCCUAUCUUAGCAACCAUUUCUAACAUAACACAACUCAUCAAUUCACGUCUGACAUCCCCUCUACUGACUUCAUUUCUUAGCAUAAAUAUAAAGUGAAUGCUUUACCUUGGUAGUAUCGAUCAUAUGAUGCAAGGAUUUCAGACAAGUAUCUGGAGCUGCAGGUAAAAGUUAGUUCCUAGUUUCUCUCUCUCUAAUUUUCUCACUUGAGUCAGAGUCUGCUUCCAUUGCAGGAUCAGUGACCAAGAUUGGACAGGCUUCCAUGAAUCAAAACUUAAUGGUGGUUGCCACCAAGCUCUGUUCACUUCUUUUUGACCUAUAUCCAAGAGUUUUUUUGCGAAAGUGAGCCUUGAAGAUUGCCGCCUCCAAGUCCCGUUUCGAACUCUUUUAUUGGAGUCUUUAUGAAUCAAGCCUUAAUGGUUUUAGCCACCAAGUCCUGUUCAGACUCAUCCUAAGUAAACAAAAGAUCUUAUUUUAUUUUUUUUUUAUUUUUUUUUUGAAUGUAACUCACUAACUAUUCUAGGGUCGAAAUUUAGAGAGAGAAAAUGUGAUAAUUAAUCUACACAAGGCGUUACCUUCCAGACUUGCCUGAAGUAUCCGAUCCCAUGUAUACCAAGCCCCAAGACAAGCGGUUAUGUCAGGUUUAGUGUUGGAAAUCAGCUUUGGUUACUUCAUACGUUCAAGGCAAGUGUGUAGUUGAUAGGUUGAUCUGCUUUAGCAUCUAUAGUGCUAUCUGCAAUCAGUAAAUCUAAAAUGGUGCUAAAGAUUGGUUAGAUAUUCAAGUUUAAAUUAAUAUAAGAUUAUAGUCCCUAUUUUCAAUAACUAAGCAUAAUUUAUUAAAAUUCCUUUUAUAUAAGAAUAAAAUAAAUUAUAUCAGUAAAUCUCCCCCAUAAUUAAAUUACAUUGUCCCAGUGUAACUCAGCCGGAGUUAUGAUGGAAUAGUUCAUGAUGUACGAAAUGUAACAAGUUGGGAAGAUACAUCUGACCGGAUUAGAUAUCGAUCGAUGGGAAAAUGUUACAUCGAUCGUCGUGUGGUUGUCUAUGUCGAGCGAUGUUGACGUUUCAUUGGCGGUCAAUAUUCAGGUCCUCCUACUUGGGUCUCCUAAAUCUGAA
rnacentral:lncRNA from 1 species